rnacentral:rRNA from 1 species
UUAAGCGACUAAGCGUACACGGUGGAUGCCCUGGCAGUCAGAGGCGAUGAAGGACGUGCUAAUCUGCGAUAAGCGUCGGUGAGGUGAUAUGAACCGUUAUAACCGGCGAUUUCCGAAUGGGGAAACCCAGUGUGUUUCGACACACUAUCAUUAACUGAAUCCAUAGGUUAAUGAGGCGAACCGGGGGAACUGAAACAUCUAAGUACCCCGAGGAAAAGAAAUCAACCGAGAUUCCCCCAGUAGCGGCGAGCGAACGGGGAGGAGCCCAGAGCCUGAAUCAGUGUGUGUGUUAGUGGAAGCGUCUGGAAAGGCGCGCGAUACAGGGUGACAGCCCCGUACACAAAAAUGCACAUAUUGUGAGCUCGAUGAGUAGGGCGGGACACGUGGUAUCCUGUCUGAAUAUGGGGGGACCAUCCUCCAAGGCUAAAUACUCCUGACUGACCGAUAGUGAACCAGUACCGUGAGGGAAAGGCGAAAAGAACCCCGGCGAGGGGAGUGAAAAAGAACCUGAAACCGUGUACGUACAAGCAGUGGGAGCCUCUUAAUGGGGUGACUGCGUACCUUUUGUAUAAUGGGUCAGCGACUUAUAUUCUGUAGCAAGGUUAACCGAAUAGGGGAGCCGAAGGGAAACCGAGUCUUAACUGGGCGCUAAGUUGCAGGGUAUAGACCCGAAACCCGGUGAUCUAGCCAUGGGCAGGUUGAAGGUUGGGUAACACUAACUGGAGGACCGAACCGACUAAUGUUGAAAAAUUAGCGGAUGACUUGUGGCUGGGGGGGAAAGGCCAAUCAAACCGGGAGAUAGCUGGUUCUCCCCGAAAGCUAUUUAGGUAGCGCCUCGUGAAUUCAUCUCCGGGGGUAGAGCACUGUUUCGGCAAGGGGGUCAUCCCGACUUACCAACCCGAUGCAAACUGCGAAUACCGGAGAAUGUUAUCACGGGAGACACACGGCGGGUGCUAACGUCCGUCGUGAAGAGGGAAACAACCCAGACCGCCAGCUAAGGUCCCAAAGUCAUGGUUAAGUGGGAAACGAUGUGGGAAGGCCCAGACAGCCAGGAUGUUGGCUUAGAAGCAGCCAUCAUUUAAAGAAAGCGUAAUAGCUCACUGGUCGAGUCGGCCUGCGCGGAAGAUGUAACGGGGCUAAACCAUGCACCGAAGCUGCGGCAGCGACACUAUGUGUUGUUGGGUAGGGGAGCGUUCUGUAAGCCUGUGAAGGUGGCCUGUGAGGGUUGCUGGAGGUAUCAGAAGUGCGAAUGCUGACAUAAGUAACGAUAAAGCGGGUGAAAAGCCCGCUCGCCGGAAGACCAAGGGUUCCUGUCCAACGUUAAUCGGGGCAGGGUGAGUCGACCCCUAAGGCGAGGCCGAAAGGCGUAGUCGAUGGGAAACAGGUUAAUAUUCCUGUACUUGGUGUUACUGCGAAGGGGGGACGGAGAAGGCUAUGUUGGCCGGGCGACGGUUGUCCCGGUUUAAGCGUGUAGGCUGGUUUUCCAGGCAAAUCCGGAAAACCAAGGCUGAGGCGUGAUGACGAGGCACUACGGUGCUGAAGCGACAAAUGCCCUGCUUCCAGGAAAAGCCUCUAAGCAUCAGGUAACAUCAAAUCGUACCCCAAACCGACACAGGUGGUCAGGUAGAGAAUACCAAGGCGCUUGAGAGAACUCGGGUGAAGGAACUAGGCAAAAUGGUGCCGUAACUUCGGGAGAAGGCACGCUGAUAUGUAGGUGAAGCGACUUGCUCGUGGAGCUGAAAUCAGUCGAAGAUACCAGCUGGCUGCAACUGUUUAUUAAAAACACAGCACUGUGCAAACACGAAAGUGGACGUAUACGGUGUGACGCCUGCCCGGUGCCGGAAGGUUAAUUGAUGGGGUUAGCGGUAACGCGAAGCUCUUGAUCGAAGCCCCGGUAAACGGCGGCCGUAACUAUAACGGUCCUAAGGUAGCGAAAUUCCUUGUCGGGUAAGUUCCGACCUGCACGAAUGGCGUAAUGAUGGCCAGGCUGUCUCCACCCGAGACUCAGUGAAAUUGAACUCGCUGUGAAGAUGCAGUGUACCCGCGGCAAGACGGAAAGACCCCGUGAACCUUUACUAUAGCUUGACACUGAACAUUGAGCCUUGAUGUGUAGGAUAGGUGGGAGGCUUUGAAGUGUGGACGCCAGUCUGCAUGGAGCCGACCUUGAAAUACCACCCUUUAAUGUUUGAUGUUCUAACGUUGGCCCCUAAUCGGGGUUGCGGACAGUGUCUGGUGGGUAGUUUGACUGGGGCGGUCUCCUCCUAAAGAGUAACGGAGGAGCACGAAGGUUGGCUAAUCCUGGUCGGACAUCAGGAGGUUAGUGCAAUGGCAUAAGCCAGCUUGACUGCGAGCGUGACGGCGCGAGCAGGUGCGAAAGCAGGUCAUAGUGAUCCGGUGGUUCUGAAUGGAAGGGCCAUCGCUCAACGGAUAAAAGGUACUCCGGGGAUAACAGGCUGAUACCGCCCAAGAGUUCAUAUCGACGGCGGUGUUUGGCACCUCGAUGUCGGCUCAUCACAUCCUGGGGCUGAAGUAGGUCCCAAGGGUAUGGCUGUUCGCCAUUUAAAGUGGUACGCGAGCUGGGUUUAGAACGUCGUGAGACAGUUCGGUCCCUAUCUGCCGUGGGCGCUGGAGAACUGAGGGGGGCUGCUCCUAGUACGAGAGGACCGGAGUGGACGCAUCACUGGUGUUCGGGUUGUCAUGCCAAUGGCACUGCCCGGUAGCUAAAUGCGGAAGAGAUAAGUGCUGAAAGCAUCUAAGCACGAAACUUGCCCCGAGAUGAGUUCUCCCUGAGACUUAGAGUCUCCUGAAGGAACGUUGAAGACGACGACGUUGAUAGGCCGGGUGUGUAAGCGCAGCGAUGCGUUGAGCUAACCGGUACUAAUGAACCGUGAGGCUUAACCUU